AAUACGUUCCCGGGUCUUGUACACACCGCCCGUCACACCAUGGGAGUUGUUUUACCUUAAGUCGGUACCUCAAUCUGGGGGCCGCCCACGGUAAGAGCAGUGACUGGGGUG
rnacentral:rRNA from 1 species